rnacentral:rRNA from 1 species
UACAUGGGGUGCAAACGUUGCUCGGAAUUACUGGGCGUAAAGCGUGCGCAGGCGGUUUUGUAAGCCAGAUGUGAAAUCCCCGGGCUUAACCUGGGAAUGGCAUUUGGGACUGCAAGGCUGGAGUUUGGCAGAGGAGACUGGAAUUCCUGGUGUAGCAGUGAAAUGCGUAGAUAUCAGGAGGAAUACCGAUGGCGAAGGCGGGUCUCUGGGCCGUAACUGACGCUGAGGAGCGAAAGCGUGGGGAGCGAACAGG